rnacentral:tRNA from 1 species
GGGUGUAUAGCUCAGUGGUAGAGCAUUCGACUGCAUAUCGAGAGGUCCCGGUUCGAACCCGGAUGCUCCCU